ACCACGAGACCGAUAGCGAACAAGUACCAUGAAGGAAAGUUGAAAAGAACUUUGAAAAGAGAGUUCAAAAAUACGUGAAAUCGUUCAGAGGUAAACCUAACAAACCCAAAAGAUUGAACGGAAAGAUUCAUCGUCAGCGGCGCUGGCUUCGCGUCGGUGGGCGAUGUCCCGCGGAGUCCUCGCGGCACGCGCAUGGGAACGCUAUCGUGCGCCAAUGUCCGGCUGUCGUCAUCGUGCACUUCUCCCCAAGUAGAACGUCGCAACCCGCUGGGUGUCGGUCUACCUGGAUGCGGUGACUGCCGCCGGCACGCGACAAACCCUCGGUCGCCCGGCCGCUGCUCGGCGGUACGCGCAAGAUAUCAAACCGCACUUAUACACGGUGCGUCGAGGCCAUCGCAAGCGCGCGCCACGGUACUCGGAGGUUACGGACUUUGCGCCGUCUUCGGUCCUAGCCCGCUGUUGGUUAAAGUACGGAUCACCUUCAACAGGCCUGCGAACGUUUUUCUCACGGGAGACGGAUACCAGUCGGCGAUGCUACUGCGUACUCUUAGGACCCGUC
rnacentral:rRNA from 1 species